UACGUAGGGACCAAGCGUUGUUCGGAUUUACUGGGCGUAAAGGGCGCGUAGGCGGCGCGGUAAGUCACUUGUGAAAUCUCUGAGCUUAACUCAGAACGGCCAAGUGAUACUGCAGUGCUAGAGUGUGGAAGGGGCAAUCGGAAUUCUUGGUGUAGCGGUGAAAUGCGUAGAUAUCAGGAGGAACACCUGAGGUGAAGACGGGUUGCUGGGCCAACACGUGACGCUGAGGCGCGAAAGCCAGGGGAGCAAACGGG
rnacentral:rRNA from 1 species